CAACGCCAAAUUAUUAUGUCGAUAGUCCAUAUUGCAACGCUUUGUUUGCUUCAAAUAAUAAUUGCAUGCCGAACAAUAUCUGAUGAAAGAAGCAUUUAUACAUCCAUUAAUCCAAAAUAUGCUUUGUUCGUACAAAUCAUUAAUGAAACCAUCCAAUGUGAAACUUAGUCGAUAACACACGCACAACUGAAACACAUAAGGUAUCCGACACACGCUAGCUAGUUUGAACACACCAUAAUGUAAUAAGCUAUGUCUAGCACUGUAGCAAAGGUUGGCUUGAUAUUGACCGUCCCAUCACUCGUGCGCUCCACUCAAACUCUAUCUUGCUCCUGAAAAAUAUUGGUAUAUGCAUCAGGUAAACUGAAAUUGUAUUAUUUUAGCAAUAACAGUAUAGACCGAACCANNNNN
rnacentral:lncRNA from 1 species